rnacentral:rRNA from 1 species
AACGUAGGUGGCAAGCGUUAUCCGGAUUCACUGGGCGUAAAGCGCAUGCAGGUGGCACAGUAAGUAGGGCAUGAAAGCUCCUGGCUUAACUGGGAGAGGCUGUCCUAGACUGCUGAGCUUGAGGAUGGGAGAGGGAAGUGGAAUUGCCGGUGUAGUGGUGAAAUGCGUAGAGAUCGGCAGGAACACCCGUGGCGAAAGCGGCUUCCUGGCCCAUUCCUGACACUCAGAUGCGAAAGCUAGGGGAGCGAACGGG